GAGUAUUGAGAGGACCGUUCCCUAGUACAAGAGGACCUAGAAGGUAGCACCUGUAGUGUACCAGUUAUCAUAUCCACAAUUAAUAUUUUGUAGCCAAGUUCGAAAUUGAUAAUUAUUGAAAUCAUCUUAGCAGUAAACUCACUCCAAGAUGAGUCCUC
rnacentral:ncRNA from 1 species